GAUGAACGUUGGCGGCGUGCUUAAUACAUGCAAGUCGAACGAGGGACUUCUGUCUUCGGAUGGAGGUUUCCUAGUGGCGAACGGGUGAGUAACGCGUUGGUGACCUGCCCCGAAGUGGGGGAUAACAGUUCGAAAGGACUGCUAAUACCUCAUGUGGUCAGCUGGAUUAGAUGCCUACUGAUUAAAGGCGAAAGCCGCUUUGGGAGGGGCCUGCGUCCCAUCAGCUAGUUGGUAGGGUAAUGGCCUACCAAGGCGAUGACGGGUAGGGGACCUGAGAGGGUGGCCCCCCACACUGGCACUGAAACACGGGCCAGACACCUACGGGUGGCAGCAGUAGGGAAUAUUGGACAAUGGGCGAAAGCCUGAUCCAGCAACGCCGCGUGCGCGAUGACGGCCUUCGGGUUGUAAAGCGCUUUUAGAGGAGAUGAGAAAGGACAGUAUCCUCAGAAUAAGCCUCGGCGAACUACGUGCCAGCCGCCGCCGUAAGAC
rnacentral:rRNA from 1 species